AACGAACGCUGGCGGCAGGCCUAACACAUGCAAGUCGAGCGGACCCUUCGGGGUUAGCGGCGGACGGGGGAGUAACGCGUGGGAAUAUGCCCUUCUCUACGGAAUAGUCCUGGGAAACUGGGGGUAAUACCGUAUACGCCCUGUGGGGGAAAGAUUUAUCGGGGAAGGAUUAGCCCGCGUUGGAUUAGGUAGUUGGUGGGGUAAUGGCCUACCAAGCCGACGAUCCAUAGCUGGUUUGAGAGGAUGAUCAGCCACACUGGGACUGAGACACGGCCCAGACUACUACGGGAGGCAGCAGUGGGGAAUCUUAGACAAUGGGGGCAACCCUGAUCUAGCCAUGCCGCGUGAGUGAUGAAGGCCUUAGGGUUGUAAAGCUCUUUCAGCUGGGAAGAUAAUGACGGUACCAGCAGAAGAAGCCCCGGCUAACUCCGUG
rnacentral:rRNA from 1 species